rnacentral:lncRNA from 1 species
AAUCAUGACCAAUGGGCUUUGAGGAGGCUGCCUAAGGCCAUAUUAGGGAUGAGGGUUAGUUUCUCGAGGCCAUUCGAACUUUGGAGGCUAGGGUCAGAAGGUUUAGGUUUUUGGCUAUGGUUUUGGUGCAAGUUUUGUGUCAUUUGGGGUUUUUAUGAAGAAGUUAUAGGCGCUCAAAGUUAAGGUGUUAGUUUUUGGACCUACUGUCACUCUUUGGGGCAUUGCGCACGCAUACAGAUAGCAAACGAGGAUCGGCGACUGGAGUUGGAGAGAACACUUUUUCGGCUACAAUUUAUGCCUACUUUUUAUAAAAUUCCAAGCUUUGAUGAAGGAGAUAUUGGCAGUUGAAGUCAGCGCUUGGAAUCUAAGGGUAGUAAGUAGCCCGAUUUACUUGUACUUGUAAUUUGAGCUAUAUCUUAGACAAUUUGACGAGGUUUUGACUCAAAAUUUCCAAGAUUGUGUACAAUCUUGUUAUAAAACUUUCUACAUAAGUUUUGUGGAAUUUGGAGUUUGGGUUUUUGAGAUAUAUGGAAAAUAGUUUUCAGGUGCUUGUAAGUUAGGGUUUUGUGCACCUGCUAGGAUUUCUAAGAUUCUGAAAGAUCGGUGAUAGAUGUACGGUUCAUUUUUGUUGUGGUAAGGGUUAAGAAUAGAAUCUAGCUUAUGUAGAAAUUUGAAACAAACUGAACGGUUGGAUCGAGAUAUAUGAGAUCCUAAAGUCUGAUGUAAAAAGGUCUUUGCGGGAAUAAAAAUGUUUUAAAGGAUUUUAAUAUAUUUUGAGUUUUUACACAAAGCAAAGAGGAUUUUUGGGAGCUAAGGCAUAAUAUACAAGUGAAACCUAAACUCUCUAUAGCUAUAUACCUAGUGUAUUCCUAGAUAGCAAAUCACGCCAUACGACAAUGUAGCCCGUAGUUAGAUAGUAUAUAUACAGACAAGAGUGAAGCCUUCUUCACUCUUGUCAACUCCUUUCUUAUUUCUAGUCUAGUUUCAAGAGUCGUU